ensembl:lncRNA
CUGACUAAUGUAUGAUUUAAUUGAAAAACGGAUGCUGCUACGAUGGAAGAAGUUACUUGUGAGCCAAGAGUGAGCCAAGUUGCUACAGGAACGAGGCAAGUUCCCCAGCUCUAUAUGUUGUAUUAACACAAGAACCCCGCUUCUUAUUCUAACCACUAACUGAUAAAGGCUGCCAUUGUAAAAGCCGUGUGUGUUGAUCCAUUUAGCCACUAACCAAACCUGUGCUGAUACAUAGCACCGCUGUUCAAAGGAGAGUGAAGCAUCACAAAAGAACCAAAAACCACCAACAAAAAACCACCCCAAAAAAACAGAAAACAGUUUGUACCAAGAGCGACUUUGACUCACAGCUUUCGCCUGCCCUUGCAGGCUGUGGCAGCACAAUGUUGACCAAAGGUUUCUGUCUUUUUGAUGAUGGUGGUUUUCUGCUCCAGCUUAGAGUUAUGUUGGGAGGGUAUAUUGAUUACUGUAAUUGUUCAUUAAUGCACUCUUGUUUUAAUGUACUUCUAGGGUUAUGUUCUUCAGAAUGAUGAUAAAUUAUGGUAGCUGCAAUUAAUGUCACUGCAGUUAAAAGGAUGUCAGCAUUUCUAUUAAUACAGGGUAAUUUUGGGGGGUUUUAUAAUGAAGCUAUUAAAAAUGGCUGAAACUUAAGGUACAGAGUUCCAGCGUGCUUUAUGCACACAAUAUUGCCUUGAUUCUGAUCUAAUCCAUAGAUGUAUCGAAUCUAACGAGAUGAUAAAAAUAGAGUUGAGAGAACCUCUGAAGAUUCACAUCCUGACUUGUGGAUAUGGAAAUAUUGUCACAUGAACGAUGAGGGGACGACCAGAAGGAAACGUCGUGGUGAAGUUUUUCCUUCAGAUGAGAGGUUGUGCAAGACGUGUCCGCAGAGCGACAGCGUGCUGAGCCUGGCACCUGGGAGUGAUGGCACACCGGGGUCCGCGGGGUGGGACAUAAGGGACAGUCUCCUGACACAGCAAUCUGUUCGGUAUCUCCUCUCUUCCCAAAUAUAGAGUGGUUUUCUGAAAUCAUGACAAAACACUGAGUGAGUACAAAGCAUUAUUACAGCUGUCAGUCCCAGGUAAUGAGAUACACAGA